AUGAACAAAACCCAUGGGUUUUCAGACAUGAUUGGAUCUAUCGAUUGCAUGCACAGAAAAUGGAAGAAUUCUACUACAACAUGGCAUGAAUUGUUCAAAGGAUGCAACAAGGAUGUCAUCAUCAUUCUUGAGGUCAUGGCUGAUAGGCUGACAAGAAUUUUGAAUGCAUAUUUUGGGAUGCUUGAAUCUUGCAAUAAUAUCAAUGUGCUCAAUCGAUCACCUCCUUUUGCAAAGUUAGCCAAUGAAGAGGAUCCAUCGGUGACCUUACAAGCAAACAGGCACACAAACAACUAUGGGCGCCACCUUUCGGAUGGGGUCUAUCCGAAGUGGGCUACUUUCGUGAAACCAAUCUCAAGCCCCCAAGGUAAGAAGGACAUUAUUUUCAGAAUGCUCAAGCGACUUCUAGAAAAGAUGUGGAGAGGGCUUUUGGGAUUUUACAGUCCCAAUUUGCUAUUGUGCGAGGACCGGCUACAUUUCGGGAUCAGGAGAACCUUAGUAUAUAAUGACUAUUUGUGUUUAUGCACUAGAUGA
rnacentral:rRNA from 1 species